rnacentral:tRNA from 1 species
GGCGAUCGUAGCCAAGUGGUAAGGCAGAGGAUUGUGGCUCCUCUAUUCGCGGGUUCGAACCCCGUCGUUCGCC